GACGAACGCUGGUGGCGUGCUUAACACAUGCAAGUCGAACGGAAAGGCCCUGCUUGCAGGGUACUCGAGUGGCGAACGGGUGAGUAACACGUGGGUGAUCUGCCCUGCACUUCGGGAUAAGCCUGGGAAACUGGGUCUAAUACCGGAUAGGAGCCAUUUUUAGUGUGAUGGUUGGAAAGUUUUUUCGGUGUAGGAUGAGCUCGCGGCCUAUCAGCUUGUUGGUGGGGUAAUGGCCUACCAAGGCGGCGACGGGUAGCCGGCCUGAGAGGGUGGACGGCCACAUUGGGACUGAGAUACGGCCCAGACUCCUACGGGAGGCAGCAGUGGGGAAUAUUGCACAAUGGGCGCAAGCCUGAUGCAGCGACGCCGCGUGGGGGAUGACGGCCUUCGGGUUGUAAACUCCUUUCGCUAGGGACGAAGCUUUUGUGACGGUACCUAGAUAAGAAGCACCGGCUAACUACGUG
rnacentral:rRNA from 1 species